rnacentral:rRNA from 1 species
CCUACGGGAGGCAGCAGUGGGGAAUAUUGGGCAAUGGGCGCAAGCCUGACCCAGCAACGCCGCGUGAAGGAAGAAGGCUUUCGGGUUGUAAACUUCUUUUGUCAGGGACGAAGCAAGUGACGGUACCUGACGAAUAAGCCACGGCUAACUACGUGCCAGCAGCCGCGGUAAUACGUAGGUGGCAAGCGUUAUCCGGAUUUACUGGGUGUAAAGGGCGUGUAGGCGGGGAGGCAAGUCAGAUGUGAAAACCACGGGCUCAACCUGUGGCCUGCAUUUGAAACUGGUUUUCGUGAGUGCUGGGGAGGCAAUCGGAAUUCCGGGUGUAGCGGUGAAAUGCGUAGAUAUACGGAGGAACACCAGUGGCGAAGGCGGAUUGCUGGACAGUAACUGACGCUGAGGCGCGAAAGCGUGGGGAGCAAACAGGAUUAGAUACCCUUGUAGUC